GACGAACGCUGGCGGCGUGCUUAACACAUGCAAGUCGAACGAUGAAGCCUAGCUUGCUAGGUGGAUUAGUGGCGAACGGGUGAGUAAUACGUGAGUAACCUACCUUUAACUCUGGGAUAAGCCCGGGAAACUGGGUCUAAUACCGGAUACGACCAAUCUCCGCAUGGGGUGUUGGUGGAAAGCGUUAUGUAGUGGUUAUAGAUGGGCUCACGGCCUAUCAGCUUGUUGGUGAGGUAACGGCUCACCAAGGCGACGACGGGUAGCCGGCCUGAGAGGGUGACCGGCAAAACUGGGCCUGAGAACGGGCCAAGCCUCCUACGGGAGGAAGAGGUGGGGAAUAUUGAAAAAUGGGCGAAAGCCUAAUGCAGCGACGCCGCGUGGGGGAUGCCGGCCUUCGGGUGGUAAACCUCUGUUAGAAGGGAAGAAGAGAGAUUGACGGUACCUGCAGAGAAAGCGCCGGCUAACUACGUG
rnacentral:rRNA from 1 species